AUACGGAGGGUGCAAGCGUUGUUCGGAAUUACUGGGCGUAAAGCGCGCGUAGGCGGUCUGUUAUGUCAGAUGUGAAAGUCCUCGGCUCAACCGGGGAAGUGCAUUUGAAACUGGCAGACUUGAGUACUGGAGGGGGUGGUGGAAUUCCCGGUGUAGAGGUGAAAUUCGUAGAUAUCGGGAGGAAUACCGGUGGCGAAGGCGACCACCUGGCCAGAUACUGACGCUGAGGUGCGAAAGCGUGGGGAGCAAACAGGAUUAGAAACCCUAGUAGUAC
rnacentral:rRNA from 1 species